CGGGCCCGCGCGGAGACUACAGCUCCCGGCAGCCCCGCGCCGGCCCGCGCCCCCGCCCCUCGCGCGCCCCCGCCCCGCACGCCCCGGCCCCCCGCCCUCAGGCCUCAGGACGGGACAGGGAGGAGGAGAGAGGAAGGGGCCGCCAGCGGCGGGCGGGAUUCUGCGAGGCGCGUGAAGCCUCGCUGGCGCCUCGUCCGCGAUCCAGACGCUGGCGGGCGCGGAGUUUCUCACGACCGGCCGAGCCCGCCUCUCCUCGCUCGGAGUUGUUCUCACCCCCACCCCCGGGAGCUCGCUCUUAAGAUGAAACACUGAGGAGUGCGACUGUUUCUUUGAGCAAUACAAAUAACCACAUACUACUCGGUUGCCUGUUGGAUAUUUUAUUUGAAGUCAUCGCGAUCAGAAGCAUGGGCCUUGCACUCUGCAGGUACGGAUGUAAAUCAAGCGACAGGCGUGUGUGAGACCUGCACCCUUUUCCAUACACUGAUUGAUGGCUUGGAAGUAACUGUCUCUUCAACCACACCCAUCCCCACAGGAAAUAAGACUAUCGGUGGCAUCUUUGAUUAGGAAGGAUAAGUUACACCCUGAACUAUUUGGUACGACACAGCCUUAAAUGAGUUGUAGCUGCAGAUGAAACAAGAACUUCUAAAAUGCGUUAAUUUGUACCCUAGAAAAUGUUACCGUGUUACUGUUACACUGCUUCUACUUUGUACUUAGUGAUGUAGUUCUUUCUCACAUUUUUAGCGACUAGAUCCAGCUUACGCAGUGAGGGCUGGGAAUACUUACGGAUUUGCUGCUGAAGACAUCCCAUCAAGGUCCCCGACCGAGAUCUAGGCCAGUUUUACUUUUUCAAGGAACCCUUUCCUCCUCCCCUGCUAGGAUCUGGAUUGAGAGCAAGCCUGGAAGUUCAGCCAAAAAGAAGUUAGAAGUUUUGAUAAAAGUGUUUAAAACGUGUUACCGAAGCCUUCAUGUUAGGUUUUGCUUUAGUGGGUAAUACAGGUCUGGUAGGCUUGAUCACAUGAGCUCGG
rnacentral:lncRNA from 1 species